rnacentral:rRNA from 1 species
AGCAGCCGCGGUAAUUCCAGCUCCAAUAGCGUAUAUUAAAGUUGUUGCAGUUAAAAAGCUCGUAGUUGAAUUUCGGGGUUCUACCGUUGGUCGGGCUAUUGUCUGUACUGGCGUGUAGAAUUUCUACCUUCUGGGGAACUAUCAUGUUAUUAAUUUAGCGUGGUAGGAAACCAGAACCUUUACCUUGAAAAAAUUAGAGUGUUCAAAGCAGGCUUAUGUCUGAAUACAUUAGCAUGGAAUAAUAAAAUAGGACGGUGGUCCUGUUCUGUUGGUUUCUGAAUCACCGUAAUGAUUAAUAGGGAUAGUUGGGGGCAUUAGUAUUCAAUUGUCAGAGGUGAAAUUCUUGGAUUUAUUGAAGACUAACUACUGCGAAAGCAUUUGCCAAGGAUGUUUUCAUUAAUCAAGAACGAAAGUUAGGGAUCGAAGACGACCAGAUACCGUCGUAGUCUUAACCAUAAACUAUGCCGACUAGGGAUCGGACGAUGUUAACUUUCUUGACUCGUUCGGCGUCCUUACGGGA